UUGUACUGUUUGGAAGAGAGGAAAGUUACUUUACCUAGUUUGGGAAGGGGAGAGAAACUGGAGCUCAAAAUUUUCUCUAUGGCCCACAAAAACUAGUCUAGAGAAAGGGGAUGGGGACUUUGAAAAUUACUUCUUUAACCUGUACUAGCCAUUAGUUAUCCAAAAAGCUAAGGUCAAAAAUUGUAAUUUUAAAGAACUUUCUUCCAUUUUCCUUCUCAUUUUCUUGAAA
rnacentral:misc_RNA from 1 species